rnacentral:misc_RNA from 1 species
AAUCUCCCACCCCAAGCGGUUUUUAAAUGAAACGGCUUGGCGGAUGGGGUCUGGAUGGGUGCCUCUGCCUGCGCUACCUAGCACAGGCUCGCCCGAAAUGCAUGAGCGCCUGAGACACUUUGCAUCCGCCUCUCUGUUUGGGAGGAGGCGGCCAAGCAGUGUUUUUCUCCUGGCAUGGCAUGAUACGUCAUUUGCUAUGUCGCCUAAAGGAGGAAUGUUUGGUUGUGUCUGCGUGUGCUUCGAACUUGCCUCUGUGGCACAUCCCAAUUUCAC